rnacentral:rRNA from 1 species
UACGGAGGGGGCUAGCGUUGUUCGGAAUUACUGGGCGUAAAGCGUGCGUAGACGGUUAUUUAAGUCGGGUGUGAAAGCCCCGGGCUCAACCUGGGAAUUGCAUUCGAGACUGAAUAGCUAGGGUACGGUAGAGGGAAGUGGAAUUUCCGGUGUAGCGGUGAAAUGCGUAGAUAUCGGAAGGAACAUCAGUGGCGAAAGCGACUUCCUGGACCAGUACCGACGUUCAGGCACGAAAGCGUGGGGAGCAAACAGG